CCAAUAGCGUAUAUUAAAGUUGUUGCAGUUAAAAAGCUCGUAGUUGAAUUUCGGGGUCAGUAGGUCGGUCGUGCCACUGGUAUGCACUGGUCUCACUGAUUCCUCCUUCCUGAUGAACCGUAAUGCCAUUAAUUUGGUGUUGCGGGGAGACUGGACUGUUACUUUGAAAAAAUUAGAGUGUUUAAAGCAGGCUAACGCUUGAAUACAUUAGCAUGGAAUAACGGAAUAGGACGUUCGAUCUUAUUUUGUUGGUUUCUAAGAUUGACGUAAUGAUUAAUAGGGAUAGUUGGGGGCAUUAGUAUUCAAUUGUCAGAGGUGAAAUUCUUGGAUUUAUUGAAGACUAACUACUGCGAAAGCAUUUGCCAAGGAUGUUUUCAUAAAUCAAGAACGAAAGUUAGGGGAUCGAAGACGAUCAGAUACCGUCGUAGUCUUAACCAUAAACUAUGCCGACUAGGGAUCGGAUGAUGUUAAUUUUUUAAUGACUCAUUCGGCACCUUACG
rnacentral:rRNA from 1 species